AUACUUACAAGGUAGGGGCGAGACCAUGAUCACAAAGGUGGUUCACCCAAGGCGGGGCUCAGCUGUUGCACUCCGGUUGUGCAGACCCCUGCGAAUUCCCCAAAUGUGGGAAUCUCGGCUGCAUCAAUUCUGAUUUUCGGGACAGUGGUAGCCCAGU